UAUGAUAAAGACGGGUAGGUACCUAUUUAGAAGCACCGUAUCACAUUAAUCCAAAUAUCUCAUAAUUUUUUAAAUUAAAUUAUGCCAAUGAUAUAUUUGACUGCUCUUAGUUUAAAUUUUGUAUUUUAUUACAUUUUUACAUUACAUACUAUAAUGGAAUAUUACUCUAGGAACAAACUCUAGGCAGCACGGCAAGGUAGAACUGUAAGUUGCCUACAUUUGGCGCAACUAAUCCAUUUUAAUUCUUUUUAUUUAAGAGCUCUUCAAAUUUUCUGAGAGAUGGCGCCAGUACACGGUUAGAUGCAGUAUAAAUGUCUCAAAAUAUUACGAUUUUUAUUGGUUAAUAUUAUACAAAAUAUUUUAAUGCUGCGUUUCUCAGGCAUUCCACAACCUCUUCUUUCACAAUGGAAUCCUCAAAAAUGUCCCCAAACGUAUUUGCAUGAACUACUCACUUAACAACAAAAAAAUGUAAUCUGCAGUAAUAUUGAAAUAUGAUUACAAACGCUGAGAAACAAACUGUAGAGUCAGCUCAGUAUGCAACCACUUAUACGUUUCCUUCAGAAACGUAGUCGGUACUUGAGACAGAACCUCUUUGGGGAGAAGGACAGGAUGUCAAGAUGGUAGUAGAAGUUAGGUUAAUGAUAAGGAUUGUAGCUUUGAAAUAUAAUUGUAAUAAAGUGCUAAAUAAA
rnacentral:lncRNA from 1 species